rnacentral:rRNA from 1 species
UGGGGAAUUGUUCACAAUGGGCGCAAGCCUGAUGACGCAACGCCGCGUGGGGGAUGAAGGUCUUCGGAUCGUAAACCCCUGUCGAAUGGGACGAAAGACUCGCGAGUGAAUACUUCGCGAGAGUGACGGUACCGUUAAAGGAAGCCACGGCUAACUCUGUGCCAGCAGCCGCGGUAAUACAGAGGUGGCAAGCGUUGUUCGGAAUUACUGGGCGUAAAGGGCGCGUAGGCGGCCCUCUAAGUCAGACGUGAAAUCCCCCGGCUUAACCUGGGAACUGCGUCUGAUACUGGAGGGCUUGAGUAUGGGAGAGGGAUGUAGAAUUCCAGGUGUAGCGGUGAAAUGCGUAGAUAUCUGGAGGAAUACCGGUGGCGAAGGCGGCAUCCUGGACCAUUACUGACGCUGAGGCGCGAAAGCUAGGGGAGCAAACGGGAUUAGAUACCCUUGUAGUCCCUGAGCGGGCUGGCAAGGCGCAU